rnacentral:rRNA from 1 species
UACGUAGGGUGCGAGCGUUGCCCGGAUUUAUUGGUCGUAAAGGGCGCGUAGGCGGCCACGCACGUCCGUUGUGAAAUCGCCCGGCUCAACUGGGCGGGGUCAGCGGAUACGGUGUGGCUCGAGCAAGCUAGGGGGCAAUGGAAUUCCCGGUGUAGUGGUGGAAUGCGUAGAUAUCGGGAGGAACACCAGUGGCGAAGGCGGUUGCCUGGAGCUUUGCUGACGCUGAGGCGCGAAAGCUAGGGGAGCAAACGGG